rnacentral:rRNA from 1 species
AGAGUUUGAUUCUGGCUCAGGAUGAACGCUGGCGAUAGGCCUAACACAUGCAAGUCGAGGGGCAGCACAUGAAGUAGCAAUACGGAUGGUGGCGACCGGCGCACGGGUGAGUAACGCGUAUGCAACCUGCCUACAACAGGGGAAUAACCCGUUGAAAGACGGACUAAUACCCCAUAACACAGGGAUCCCGCAUGGGAAUAUUUGUUAAAGAUUUAUCGGUUGUAGAUGGGCAUGCGUUCCAUUAGCUUGUUGGUGAGGUAACGGCUCACCAAGGCAACGAUGGAUAGGGGAACUGAGAGGUUUAUCCCCCACACUGGUACUGAGACACGGACCAGACUCCUACGGGAGGCAGCAGUGAGGAAUAUUGGUCAAUGGACGCAAGUCUGAACCAGCCACGUCGCGUGAAGGAAGACGGCCCUACGGGUUGUAAACUUCUUUUGUAAGGGAAUAAAGUGUAGUACGUGUACUAUUUUGCAUGUACCUUACGAAUAAGGAUCGGCUAACUCCGUGCCAGCAGCCGCGGUAAUACGGAGGAUCCGAGCGUUAUCCGGAUUUAUUGGGUUUAAAGGGUGCGCAGGCGGGAGAUUAAGUCGGCGGUGAAAUUUUGCAGCUCAACUGUAAAAGUGCCUUCGAAACUGGUUUCCUUGAGUGUGGAUGAAGUAGGCGGAAUUUGUGGUGUAGCGGUGAAAUGCAUAGAUAUCACGAGGAACUCCGAUUGCGCACGCAGCUUACUAAACCAUAACUGACGCUCAGGCACGAAGGCGUGGGGAUCAAACAGGAUUAGAUACCCUGGUAGUC